AAUGAUUAAGAAGAAUAACUCUUAUAAAUAGAUUUACAAUCUAUUGCCUAAACU
rnacentral:tRNA from 3 species